rnacentral:tRNA from 1 species
AGGACAGUAGCUCAGUGGUAGAGUCCCCGCCUCUCAUGCGGGAAGACCUGGGUUCGAUUCUCGGCUGCUUCU